rnacentral:rRNA from 1 species
GACGAACGCUGGCGGCGUGCCUAAUACAUGCAAGUAGAACGCUGAAGGAGGAGCUUGCUUCUCCGGAUGAGUUGCGAACGGGUGAGUAACGCGUAGGUAACCUGCCUCGUAGCGGGGGAUAACUAUUGGAAACGAUAGCUAAUACCGCAUAAGAGUAGAUGUCGCAUGACAUUUGCUUAAAAGGUGCAACUGCACCACUACCAGAUGGACCUGCGUUGUAUUAGCUAGUUGGUGAGGUAACGGCUCACCAAGGCAACGAUACAUAGCCGACCUGAGAGGGUGAUCGGCCACGCUGGGACUGAGACACGGCCCAGACUCCUACGGGAGGCAGCAGUAGGGAAUCUUCGGCAAUGGACGGAAGUCUGACCGAGCAACGCCGCGUGAGUGAAGAAGGUUUUCGGAUCGUAAAGCUCUGUUGUAAGAGAAGAACGAGUGUGAGAGUGGAAAGUUCACACUGUGACGGUAUCUUACCAGAAAGGGACGGCUAACUACGUG